UCCAACACUAGCUCUACCUUGUAGAGCAUGGUGUUCACACUGCCAGGGUUAGGGGUUCGAUUCCCACACUUGUUAGAA